GAUGAACGCUGGCGGCGUGCCUAAUACAUGCAAGUCGAGCGAACAGACGAGAAGCUUGCUCUUCUGAUGUUAGCGGCGGACGGGUGAGUAACACGUGGAUAACCUACCUAUAAGACUGGGAUAACUUCGGGAAACCGGAGCUAAUACCGGAUAAUAUUUUGAACCGCAUGGUUCAAAAGUGAAAGACGGUCUUGCUGUCACUUAUAGAUGGAUCCGCGCUGCAUUAGCUAGUUGGUAAGGUAACGGCUUACCAAGGCAACGAUGCAUAGCCGACCUGAGAGGGUGAUCGGCCACACUGGAACUGAGACACGGUCCAGACUCCUACGGGAGGCAGCAGUAGGGAAUCUUCCGCAAUGGGCGAAAGCCUGACGGAGCAACGCCGCGUGAGUGAUGAAGGUCUUCGGAUCGUAAAACUCUGUUAUUAGGGAAGAACAUAUGUGUAAGUAACUAUGCACAUCUUGACGGUACCUAAUCAGAAAGCCACGGCUAACUACGUG
rnacentral:rRNA from 1 species